CACGUGGGUAACCUGCCCAAGAGAUCGGGAUAACACCUGGAAACAGAUGCUAAUACCGGAUAACAACAGAUGAUACCUAUCAACUGUUUAAAAGAUGGUUCUGCUAUCACUCUUGGAUGGACCUGCGGUGCAUUAGCUAGUUGGUAGGGUAACGGCCUACCAAGGCGAUGAUGCAUAGCCGAGUUGAGAGACUGAUCGGCCACAUUGGGACUGAGACACGGCCCAAACUCCUACGGGAGGCAGCAGCC
rnacentral:rRNA from 1 species